UGGGGAAUAUUGCACAAUGGGCGAAAGCCUGAUGCAGCGACGCCGCGUGAGGGAUGACGGCCUUCGGGUUGUAAACCUCUUUCAGUAGGGACGAAGCGCAAGUGACGGUACCUACAGAAGAAGCACCGGCCAACUACGUGCCAGCAGCCGCGGUAAUACGUAGGGUGCGAGCGUUGUCCGGAUUUACUGGGCGUAAAGAGCUCGUAGGCGGUUUGUCACGUCGUCUGUGAAAACCCGAGGCUUAACCUCGGGCCUGCAGGCGAUACGGGCAGACUUGAGUACUGUAGGGGAGACUGGAAUUCCUGGUGUAGCGGUGGAAUGCGCAGAUAUCAGGAGGAACACCGGUGGCGAAGGCGGGUCUCUGGGGAGUAACUGACGCUGAGGAGCGAAAGCGUGGGUAGCGAACAGG
rnacentral:rRNA from 1 species